AUGAGAGCUCACCUCUUUGGGCGAAAAGUCGAGGCAUCGCUAGGAACCUUCAAGAUGAAUCCCGGCCCCGCCAAACUUUGCAACACGCAAUUGCAGGGCUGUGGAUCCAUCCACAGGUGUGAAUUCUGCAAUGCUGCCCAGAAACCCACUGCAGCCUCAGACCAACAGCAGCGGCGGCGGCGGCGGCUGCAGCGGCGGCGGCGGCGGCAGCAGCAGCUUCUCCCAAUGCUGAGUAGUAAAGUCUUUGACUUAGUAGACUCCACAAUUACCAUUAGGCACUUACUUAUAAGAGAGGGGGCGGAAUCUUUCUUAAAGGAAUGGGUUUUGUUUUUUCCUCUCCGGUAUUGCUUCAUAAGAGGCAGAGAGGGUGGAAUCAGGGAGGUUUUUUUUUUUUUUUUGUGGACAGAGUAAAGCAGUACAGCUGUGGGAGGUCAAGGUUAAAAUUAACUGGGUGAUUGAGGAAGGGAGGCAACGAUUUUAGUGUAAGUCAAUGAAAUGCUAGAAGCCCCAGUUUUAAAAAGCCCUGCUAACUUCAAACAUUGGGGUUAAUGGCAAAAUAAAGCUGUAUGCCUUGAAACCGAUGAGUAAUUUGUGCUAAUAUUUAAUUUCCAAUCAUCGUACUAAAAUGGUAACUACGUAAAGGAAAGUUAUUUAGUAUUUAAUUAAAGAAUAAAAAGAAAAAGGAAGUAAAACUUGUUUAUGUGACUAGGAGCAAUGGAUUCAAGUCCUACCUAUAAGCAUACUUGGAACUUCAGUGAAUACCAGUAUUAGAAAAUAUAUUAUUGACAGAUUUUAGUGUGUACUCAUGUGUUAUAAAAAUCACAUUAUAUAUAGAAAAAACAAAAUAGAUCUAAAAUAAUUUUUGGAAGAUAAUAGCACAGUAUUAUACUAUUUCAGUGGCAAUUCAAAGGUCAGCAAAAUUAAGAAACACAAGUGGAUUGACUGACUUUAAGUGCAUUUGAAUCUACUAUCUACACUAUUAAAAUAUAACGUGUCCACACAUGAGAAUCUGCAUUAUAACCUUAAAUGUUAUCUUUAAUAAUGUUACCUGAUUUAAGCAUUGACCAGCUAUGAUUUUUUACUUUAUAGGUAAAUGAAGAGAUGUGAUCUCAAUAUAUGAAUAGAAAAAAAAUACAGAAAACAUUCUACCUUUGAUUUUCUUUGCACAGCCUUUGCUAAUUAUGUACCUGUGUGAUCUUGACGAGUAAAUAACCUUAUUUGGUUCUUAGUUCCCUAUUUUGUAAACUGAGGAAGUUGGAUUGGAAUUUCCCAGGGUCCUUUAGCAUUCCAAAAUAGUGUGAUUUUAUGACAUUCAUAUUUUUAUAUUUUUGUUAUUUAAUGCAAGUAUGUCCUGCUCUCAAUUACUUUUUCUGAAAACUUGGAUUAAAAGUAAAUCUUUAUUGUAAAUGCUUAACCAGAGUAUAUUACUUGCCACUAUUCUGAAAUAUUUUGGCAAAUUAUUUUGUAAAGUAAAUAAACUUAAUUUUAUCUGAUUAUGAUUUUGUAUCCAACUAUGACCAAUUUCCCUGAAGUAGGACCCUAAUAUAUUGUUAAGGAUACCAACUGACUGGAAUACUAUAAUGUAUGUUAUGUAAUAACUGAAACAUAUUUUAAAACUGUAGCAUUUAUAGGAUGGUAGAGGUAAAACAGAUUGUAGAGCUUACCUACUCUACAACCCUGUAGUUUUAUACAUAGAAAACAUGGAAACCUAAAGAAACAAAAUGGGGACAGUGUUAGGCACAAAACUAGGGUUAAUUAUGAGUCUCCACUCUUCGCACGCACAAGGCAAGUAAACUACGCAUGACCAUACACAGGUUCAUAUACCCACUCUGGGGGCUGAGCAGGACCUGUCACAACAAAAACAAGUAGUUUCAGGCCGGGUGCCACGGCUCAUACCUGUAAUUCCAGCAUUUUGGGAGGCUGAGGCAGGCAGAUCAUUUGAGGUCAGGAGUUUAAGACCAGCCUGCCCAACAUGGUGAAACCGUCUCUACUGAAAAUACAAAAAUUAGCUGGGCAUGGUGGUGGACGCCUGUGAUACCAGAUACUCCAGAGGCUGAGGCAGGAGAAUCACUUCAACCUGGGAGGUGGAGGUUGCAGUGAGCCGAGAUUGCACCGCUGCACUCCAGCCUGGGAAACAGAGUGAGACUGUCUCAGAAAACAAAACAACAACAAUAAAACAAGUAGUUUCAGCCAUUGAUAUUAUUUGUACACAUAUGAACUAAAGGAACUUACCAACUACUUAUAAU
ensembl:lncRNA